GAUAAAUUUAAUAUUAGUCUAUAAUUAUGGUGCUUUAAUUUUAUAAGUUUGAUUCUUUCUUUAAAUUAAUUAUUUGUACCAAUUAUAUGUAUAAUUAUUUAAUUUAAUUUCUUUUCAGUAAUUAGUUUUAUUAUUUAUUUUUAUAAUUAGUUAGGCAUACAAUUAAUAUAGAUUAAUAUUGUGCCAGCAUUCGCGGUUAUACAAUUUAUUUGAAUUAAUUUUUUAGGAUUUAAUUAUUUAUUUUAUUGAAUUUAUUAUUUUAUAAUUUAGGUGGAAUUUUUUUUAAAAAUUUUUUCUUUGUAUUUAUUGUUAAAUUCUAUUUUUAAACUAGGAUUAGAUACCCUAUUAUUUAUAAUUUAAAUUUAUUUCCAGAAUAUUAUGAGCUAUUAUCUUUAAAACUCAAAGAAUUUGGCGGUAACUUAUUUUUUUAGAGGAACCUGUAUUUUAAUUGAUAAACCACGAUAUUAUAUACUUUAUAUUUUAUUUGUAUAUCUCUAUACUUUGGAAUGUUUUUUAAAAAUAUUUUCUUUAAUUAUAAUUAAAUUUAUGUUAGGUCAAGGUGCAGUUUUUAUAAAGUUUAUAUGGGUUACUUUAAUUUUAAAUUUAUUGGAUUUUAAAUAUUAAUUUUAAAUUAAAUAGGAUUUAAUAGUAAUUUUAAAUAGUUAUUUAAUUUGAACUUAAUUCUAAGUUAUGUACAUAUCGCCCGUCGCUCUCAUUUUAAUUGAGAUAAGUCGUAACAAAGUAAUUGUACUGGAAAGUGUAGUUAGAAAGU
rnacentral:ncRNA from 1 species